rnacentral:rRNA from 1 species
CCUACGGGCGGCAGCAGUAAGGAAUAUUGGUCAAUGGACGCAAGUCUGAACCAGCCAUGCCGCGUGAAGGAUGAAGGCCCUCUGGGUUGUAAACUUCUUUUGUACGGGAAAAAACCCCUGCUCGUGAGCGGGGCUGAUGGUACCGUAAGAAUAAGGAUCGGCUAACUCCGUGCCAGCAGCCGCGGUAAUACGGAGGAUCCAAGCGUUAUCCGGAUUUAUUGGGUUUAAAGGGUGCGUAGGUGGGCUAUUAAGUCAGUGGUGAAAGCCUGCAGCUUAACUGCAGAACUGCCAUUGAUACUGAUAGUCUUGAGUGCAGUUGAGGUGGGCGGAAUGUGUCAUGUAGCGGUGAAAUGCUUAGAUAUGACACAGAACACCGAUUGCGAAGGCAGCUCGCUAAACUGUAACUGACACUGAGGCACGAAAGCGUGGGUAGCAAACAGGAUUAGAUACCCCAGUAGUC